rnacentral:rRNA from 1 species
CCUACGGGCGGCAGCAGUAGGGAAUAUUGCUCAAUGGGGGAAACCCUGAAGCAGCAACGCCGCGUGGAGGAUGAAGGUUUUCGGAUUGUAAACUCCUUUUGUUAGAGAAGAUAAUGACGGUAUCUAACGAAUAAGCCCCGGCUAACUCCGUGCCAGCAGCCGCGGUAAUACGGAGGGUGCAAGCGUUACUCGGAAUCACUGGGCGUAAAGAGGGCGUAGGCGGGAUAGCAAGUCAGAUGUGAAAUCCUAUGGCUUAACCAUAGAACUGCAUUUGAAACUGUUAUUCUAGAGUAUGGGAGAGGUAGGUGGAAUUCUUGGUGUAGGGGUAAAAUCCGUAGAGAGCAAGAGGAAUACUCAUUGCGAAGGCGACCUGCUAGAACAUAACUGACGCUGAUGCGCGAAAGCGUGGGGAGCAAACAGGAUUAGAUACCCGAGUAGUC